GAUAUGGUUAGUGUUAGGGUGUGGGGUUGGGGUUAGCGGAGUAGGCGUAGGCGGACUCCUAGCCAUCGUUAGUCGGAGGUAGGCGAAGUACGGUUCCGGCAAUAAUAGAUAGUAGCAGGGUACGUUUCCGUAAACUGGACCGAACCCAGG